CAGCGUAGAUAGUCAUACACAAGAUAACUCGAGCGGUGCACAGAGAGCUUGCUCUCGGGUGACGAGCGGCGGACGGGUGAGUAAUGUCUGGGAAACUGCCUGAUGGAGGGGGAUAACUACUGGAAACGGUAGCUAAUACCGCAUAACGUCGCAAGACCAAAGUGGGGGACCUUCGGGCCUCAUGCCAUCAGAUGUGCCCAGAUGGGAUUAGCUAGUAGGUGGGGUAAUGGCUCACCUAGGCGACGAUCCCUAGCUGGUCUGAGAGGAUGACCAGCCACACUGGAACUGAGACACGGUCCAGACUCCUACGGGAGGCAGCAGUGGGGAAUAUUGCACAAUGGGCGCAAGCCUGAUGCAGCCAUGCCGCGUGUGUGAAGAAGGCCUUCGGGUUGUAAAGCACUUUCAGCGGGGAGGAAGGCGAUAAGGUUAAUAACCUUGUCGAUUGACGUUACCCGCAGAAGAAGCACCGGCUAACUCCGUGCCAGCAGCCGCGGUAAUACGGAGGGUGCAAGCGUAAUCGGAUUACUCUGGGGCGAAAGCGCACGCAGGCGGCUGCAGCGGUGGGAUGUGGAAUCCCCGGGUCACCUGGGACUGCUUCAAUGGAGUAAUCUGAAGGGUAGAAUCAGGACGUGAUGGAAGUUGAGAUACGUGCGAGCGCCAGGUGUAGCGCGGCAAUGCGUAGGGACUGGACAAGAAAACGAUCCGGACAGCAUGAGGGCUAGUGUCGAUCCUAUCACGCGGAGCGCCGCAGUAAUCAGGAGCAAACAGGAUUAGAGGACGCCUGUUAAACGGAUUUGGGAGGGUUGUUUUGAAGGUCGUGGCCUUGAGGCGUGGCUCCGGGAGCUAACGCGUUAAAUCGACCGUGGGGGGAGUACGGCCGCAAGGUUAAAACUCAAAAUGAAUUGACGGGGGCCCGCACAAAGCGGUGGAGCAUGUGGUUUAAUUCGAUGCAACGCGAAGAACCUUACCUGGUCUUGACAUCCACAGAACUUGCCAGAGAUGGCUUGGUGCCUUCGGGAACUGUGAGACAGGUGCUGCAUGGCUGUCGUCAGCUCGUGUUGUGAAAUGUUGGGUUAAGUCCCGCAACGAGCGCAACCCUUAUCCUUUGUUGCCAGCGGUUCGGCCGGGAACUCAAAGGAGACUGCCAGUGAUAAACUGGAGGAAGGUGGGGAUGACGUCAAGUCAUCAUGGCCCUUACGACCAGGGCUACACACGUGCUACAAUGGCAUAUACAAAGAGAAGCGACCUCGCGAGAGCAAGCGGUCCUCAUAAAGUAUGUCGUAGUCGGGAUUGGAGUCUGCAACUCGACUCCAUGAAGUCGGAAUCGUUAGUAAUCGUUGAUCAGAAUGCUACGAGGAAUUCGUUCCCGGGCCUUGGCGCACCGCCCCGUCGCGGCACGGGAGUGGGUUGCAGAAGAAGUGGGUAGCUUAACCUUGCGGGGAGGGCGCUUACCACUUUGGUUUGGGAAGGGGGGC
rnacentral:rRNA from 1 species